UACGGAGGGGGCUAGCGUUGUUCGGAAUUACUGGGCGUAAAGCGCGCGUAGGCGGCCUCAUAAGUCCGUUGUGAAAGUCAAAGGCUCAACCUUUGAAAGCCGAUGGAUACUGUGAGGCUAGAGUCCGGAAGAGGCGAGUGGAAUUCCUGGUGUAGCGGUGGAAUGCGCAGAUAUCAGGAGGAACACCAGUGGCGAAGGCGGCUACCUGGACCAGCAUUGACACUCAAGCACGAAAGCGUGGGGAGCAAACAGG
rnacentral:rRNA from 1 species